AGUCACUGACAUUAGAUACCCCUGUAGUCCCAGCCGUAAACAAUGUGCGUUAAGGUGUGUCGGUAACCACGCGUUACUGAUGCGCCGAAGAGAAAUCGUGAAACGCACCACCUGGGAAGUACGGUCGCAAGGCUGAAACUUAAAGGAAUUGGCGGGGAGCACCACAACAGGUGGAGCCUGCGGUUUAAUUGGAUUCAACGCCGGACAUCUCACUGGAUAAGACAGCUGAAUGAUUGUCAAUCUGAAGGUUUUACAUGGCUAGCUG
rnacentral:rRNA from 1 species